GGCAACGCUGGUGAUGAUCGACAGGUGUCACGGCGCGCGCGCGUCGCCCCUCGCUGUGCCGCGGCGCGGACCGGGCGCACGUCCACGCAGACACCGAGCCACGCGCGAGCUCGUUAACGCCGCGUUUACCGCGACAGCGCGAUCGUGUCGGCACUCGAUUGCCUUUGAACCAAAGGUCUGUCGCUGGCGCUCGGCUGACAUCUCACCUGUCGGGACGCCGGGAGCUAACGAGGCUCCAACCCGUGGAGCGGCAACGGGACAGGUUAUGUGCACACACUGGAAUAUCUUCAUUAACGUCAUGUUUGUGGCACAUGGUGCCAGAUGGUGUUACUCAGCCGGUUAAAUAACCAGUGUGGAUGAGUGACGCGUCCACAGUAGACACAGUAUGUCAGCAGUGGGUGUGAUGCAGCCUCUAGGAGAAGGGCACAGAUGUGCGAUGUGAGUCCCACUUUUCUGUUGCUUUGUGUUGUGUGUUUCUCUCCAGUCACACUGAUGAAGGACCUGGCGCCCUGGACCCCACUGUGCCCUCCGCAGCAUCCCACCGCCGCCUCUCACUGGCGGGAUUAUGCUGGGCCGACGGACCGGGACACGGAGGAGACGCCAGCAUGUACGUUUGCGCGUGGGACGUCAUCUUCUCAUGUCGUUCCUCCUGCAGUGGUCGACGCCUCGCGCACCCUCAGAGGGACCGGUCCGCGAGGAAGCGACGCUCCGCCGAGACGGGACUUCUGGCUGAGGAAGACGUUUACAGAGCGCCUGCGUGACCAGGUUCAUGCAGAACGUUUCUGCUGCAGUGUUCUUUCACCAAAUCCGUCUCUUCAUUUCCCCCGAAUACCGAUUUAGCCUCGCCCGCCCCCGCUCUCGUUUUUUUUAGCUGAUCAGAAACACUGACACUGCAGCCGGUGACCACCGCUCACGCUCGCGCUCCUCAGCUGCUGCGCAGCGCGAGCUCGUCACUCUGUUACCUUGGUUACCGGGUUACACUUUGGGCACUUCUCCCCCGUAGAACACUCCGAAAAUCAGCAUCAGCAGCGUUACCGGCUCUGCCCUGUGUGUUAAUACGCAUCGAUGCUAAAUCCGGAAGCAGAGACAUCAGAAAUUUUAAGCCUGUAAAAAAAAAGUGAGAAUUGUUUUCUCACGUUUGACAAUGUGCAAGUCACACAUUAUGUUUUUCUUAGUCGACUCCAAACCUCCUAUUACAGAGCGAUGCUAAUUAUUCUGUUGUAUCAUUUACUCUGUGUGCGUGGGCGUGUCGGCGUGGAUGCAUCCGUUUGUGAGCAUGUGGCCUAUUUGUGUGUCCCCGUGCAUGUGUAUCAUACCCGGGCCUGAAGCCACAUGCUGCUUUACUCUCACGUCGUCACAGCUGCAAACCCUCCAGAUCGCCUGAAGCUUUGGUUCUCUCCAGUGGAUGUACCAGACCAGGGAUAAAAAAUAUUUGCAAAUAAUUGCCUGCAUUUCACCGUGAACCCGUUGAAAUCUCCUUUAGGUGGGGAUUCCUGUGAUUUAGAUAAUCACAGCAAUAUUGCUGGAAAUUAAUGGUGUGUGUUUUCUAAAUGAGGCCUGCUGGCGUUAAUGUAAUUGCCCUGAUGCCUGCAGUCCCAUCAUCUCAUACUUUAGCAAAUUAUACCAAAUGCUAAUAAUUAUGUGCAAAUAGCUUUUUACCCAGCUCUGGCUUGUACUAACGAUAGCUCACUAAUUUCUAACAGUACUAAUACGUGCUAACAGUGGAUGAUUACUAACCUGUACUCUGAAUGCUAACGGCUGGCCUUGUUCUCUGUAACCAAAUGACUAACCCUCUGCUUUAUGCCCACAUAUAGUCUGAUGUACGAGCUCCUCUGCCAGCAUCCUGAAGCCUUCUCUUGCAAAUGCCUGCUCCUGGUUGAUUAAGAAAGAGCUGCUUUGUCUUGUUUUUCAUAAUAAAAAGUGUCAGGGUGAACAUUUGAAGCGGGUUUUCAGGACGAGCGGAGAAAGAGGGGCCGAUAGAGAUGACAAUACUUAAUUGGGUUGAGAAGAGUUCUCACAAUUUUUCACGAGCCCAAUUCCGCAGCUUUGUGACUCUUCGGGCUCAGCCUGUGGUCAACCUGCGCCGGCGGGUGUCUGGCUAAUGGUCCCCACUGCUGCAGGAGUCAGACAGAAAGCCCAGCGCAGCGGUGACGCUUGUAGCGUCUCCGACCGGCCCGGUCCUCGGACCCGUGCGCUGGUGUUAGUCUUGGAUUGGAUCAAAGCAUGCCUCGUGCCACCGGCGGUCUCCAUUAAAUGACAUGCAGUAAAGAUUCGCAUAAACCCCCGCUACUAACAGCUCCUAAAGCUACUGACCAGCCACUAACCUGGGCAGCUUCUAACACACUAACAAACUAACCCACUAAUAAACUAACAACCUAACAAAAACUAACCAAAUCACUAACAUCAUAUUAGCGAAGCACGCAGCUUUUCUGGAUCACGUGCAUCACCUACUAACAGAUUCCAACUCAUAUGAGUUAAUGACAUGAGUGUGUGUGUGUGUGUGUGUGUGUGUGUGGGGACACAUUAGUGACAGUUACAUUCGACAAGCAACAGGCUGCCGUAAACAAUGAAUAGUUGUUAAUAAUUGUUGAUUCAUUUGCCUUUUGAGCACCAGGAUACUUAUACAACACAGUUUUUGACUUUACAGUCCUACAAAUUCAGCAGUAGACAGAAAUGAACAUGUACAAGACAUUAAACGUUCAAAACUAUUGUUGUACUUUACUUGAUAAUAUCUAGGAGUAUGCAUACCAUAUAUUUUUGUAAUAAAUGUUUCCACUAAUAAA